AAUCAGUUGCAUGUAACAAAACUCCCCCCCUCUUCAAUCUAUAUGCUCAAAUAUAUUUUAGAAAUUAAUUCAACGGGCUCAGUGCCUCAAACUAGCUCAGUCCACAUCCAAUAUCGAUGCCUGCAUACCCCCAAGCUGACCGAUUUUACAUUUUCCCACAUGUAAGUAUAUAUAUUUAUAUAUAUAUAUUUAGAAUAUGUAGGUUCCCG
rnacentral:lncRNA from 1 species